GUAGGGAAUAUUGGGCAAUGGAUGAAAGUCUGACCCAGCCAUGCCGCGUGCCGGAUGAAGGCGCUCAGCGUUGUAAACGGCUUUUAUUCGGGAAGAAGAGCAGGGAUGCGUCCCUGUGUGACGGUACCGAAUGAAUAAGCACCGGCUAACUCCGUGCCAGCAGCCGCGGUAAUACGGAGGGUGCGAGCGUUGUCCGGAUUUAGUGGGUUUAAAGGGUGCGUAGGUGGCCAAAUAAGUCAGUGGUGAAAUACGGUUGCUCAACAAUCGAGGUGCCAUUGAUACUGCUUGGCUUGAAAUAAUUGGAGGCUGCCGGAAUGGAUGGUGUAGCGGUGAAAUGCAUAGAUAUCAUCCAGAACACCGAUUGCGAAGGCAGGUGGCUACGAUUUAUUUGACACUGAGGCACGAAAGCAUGGGGAGCAAACAGGAUUAGAAACCCGGGUAGUCC
rnacentral:rRNA from 1 species